UACGUAGGGGGCAAGCGUUGCCCGGAAUCAUUGGGCGUAAAGAGCGUGUAGGCGGCCAGAUAAGUCCGCUGUGAAAUCUCGAGGCUCAACUUCGAGCUGUCGGUGGAAACUGUCUGGCUAGAGUCCGGAAGAGGAGAAUGGAAUUCCUGGUGUAGCGGUGAAAUGCGCAGAUAUCAGGAAGAACACCCGUGGCGAAGGCGGCUCUCUGGGACGGUACUGACGCUGAGACGCGAAAGCGUGGGGAGCGAACAGG
rnacentral:rRNA from 1 species